GCAUGCUAUCCCUAUCUGCGCAAUAUAAUAUCCAAAAGCUUCUGUACCCUUUUGAGUUUUCAACUUUACUGUUAAUCUUCCAUUCAUUCUUGCCAGAGAAAUAGAAGUUUACAGUUCAUUCUUCAUCGUCUCUACUCUGAACCAUCCAAUUCAAGUAUGGCGAAAUUGGGAAAAAUAAUUGACAUGGGGGAACAGCUAUGCUAUUGCAAUAGCCUUGAUGAAAAGAUGCAAAAACUAAAAAGGAAAUUGGAAGAUCUGAGCAGCAGGGAAGCUGACAUAAAUAAAGAACUAGAAUAUGCAGAGUCACUAUAUUUAAAGAAACGAAGGCGGCAAGUUGAAAAUUGGUUGACAAAUGUAGAGAGAAUAAGCAGGCAAGUUCAUAGCCUGGAGCAAACACUGGAAGAAAGGAGAUUGCUUGGGUGUGUACAGUUGUGGAAACGAGUGGAAGAGCUGACUGGAGAAGUGACACAACUUGUGGAUCAAGGAAGAUUUCCUGGAGGGCUCACCUUUGAAGCACAUGAGACCAAAGGAGAUGCAUUGUUGACAACAAAAUUGGUGGGUCAAACAUUUCAAACAAAUAUGGAUAAGAUUUGGACAUGUCUAAUGCAGGAUGAGGUCUUAAUCAUUGGCAUUUAUGGAAUGGGGGGAGUGGGGAAAACAACCUUGGUGACUCAUAUCCAUAACAAACUUAUAGAAAAUCCAAACACUUUCGAUCAUGUUUUUUGGAUCACAGUAUCACAAGAUUUUAGCAUUCAUAAAUUGCAAAAUGAUAUUGCAAAAAUACUGAAUCUAGACCUUUCGAACAUGGAUGAUGAAAAGAAAAGGGCAGCAAAAUUGGCCCAGGCUUUGAUGAGAAGACAACAAUCUGUGCUCAUUUUAGAUGAUGUUUGGAAUCAUUUUGUUUUAGAGAAGGUGAGAAUUCCUGUCAGAGUCAAUGGGUGCAAAUUGAUUUUAACCACGAGAUCAUUAGAUGUGUGUCGAAGGAUGGGUUGCCAAGUGAAAAUCAAAGUGGAGCCCCUUUCAAAGGAAGAAGCUUGGAGCUUAUUUUUGGAGAAAGUUGGAAAUGAAAUUUCACUUCCUCCUGAAGUAAAAGAUAUUGCAAGGUCUGUUGCAAAAGAAUGUGCAGGUCUGCCACUUGCCAUAACCGUACUGGCUGGAAGCAUGAGAGGAGUGGAUGACAUCUGUGAAUGGAGGAAUGCAUUGGAGAUUUUGAAAGAAUCAAAACUGGGACAAGAUGACAUGGAAACUGAGGUUUUUCAAGUACUGAGAUUUAGCUAUUGGAGCUUGAAUGAUUCAAAAGUGCAACAUUGUUUUCUAUACUGCUCACUAUAUCCUGAAGAUUAUAAAAUUAAAAGAGAGGAGUUGAUAGAAAGGUUUAUUGAUGAAGGUUUCAUUGACAGAAUGAAGAGCAGGCAGGUAGAGUUUGACAGGGGUCACACUAUUCUGAAUAAACUUGAAAAUUCUUGCUUAUUGGAGGGCAUUAUAGAAGAUUUCCCCAAUGAGAAAAAGUGCGUCAAGAUGCAUGAUUUAGUUAGGGACAUGGCACUCCAAAUUGUGAUUGUGAGUCCUCGAUUCAUGGUAGAAGCUGGCAUUGGGUUGGAGAAUAUACCAGAUGAAGAAAAAUGGACAAAGGAUCUAGAGAAGGUUUCUUUGAUGCACAACAAAAUAUCUGUAAUUCCUUCUAGUUUAUCACCAAGGUGUCCUAAACUUUCAACGUUGAUGCUUCAACAUAAUAGUCUAAGAAGAAUACCAGAUUCUUUUUUUGUGCAUAUGCAUGGGCUCAAGGUUCUCGAUCUAUCAUAUAAUGGCAUUGAAUAUUUGCCAAAUUCACUCUCCCACUUGGAGAAUCUUACAUCGCUGCUGCUUAGAGAAUGUGAUAAAAUAGAACAUGUCCCUUCGUUAGCAAAGCUUUCUGCUUUGAAGAGGUUGGAUCUUUGGCAUACAGGAAUUAGUGAAGUACCUAAUGGUAUGGAAAUGUUGGUCAACCUCAGAUACUUGGAUCUCUAUGAAAGUAAAGAUGCUAGGAUCACAUCAACUUGGGUCUCACUAUCAAUUUCUGCACCAAGCAUAUCCAGUUCAUUGAUGAAAGAAAUCAUCUUCAGGACAUGUUCCCGAACUGGAGUUCCUUCCACCAUUUUGGUGGACAUGAGAUUUUUCAUAGCAGUUUGCCGUGCACUUCUGCUUUGUUCUCCAAACAUCUCUUUGAGGUGCAACAUCAUAUCUUGUGCUAUGUUACCUGUUGGGACUUUCACUAAACUCUCUCAUCUCCAAUAUCUUGUUGUUUACCGAUCAUCUGAAACAUUAAAAGUGAAUGGAGAGGAGGAAGCAUACUUGAAAAGAUUGGAAACUUUUAGCGGACAAUUCAGUGAACUCCAAAACUUUAACGUAUAUGUCAAAUCCUUAAAAGUGGGAGGACCUAGCAAUUACCUACUUCAAAUGGGAUUAGAUGACCCAGAUGUCACACCAAUUGAAAGUGACACCUUUGACAAAUGUGUAAUCUUAAAAAGGUGCAGUUUAAGUACAAGUAGAGGUGGAGGAGAAGAUCCCCUUUUGCUCCCAGAAGAUAUUGAGUUCCUAUAUAUUCAAGAGUGCAAUGAUGUAAGAAGUUUAUGUGGUAUUUCAUCAUUGAAAAAUGCCAAUAACUUGAAGGCCUGUGUAAUUAGGAAGUGCAAUAGAGUAGAGCAUGUGCUGUCUCAUUAUUCAUCCCCCUCUUCCAUUCUCACUCUCCAAAGCCUUGAGUCACUACGGCUUGCAUUUUUGCAAAACUUAAGUGACUUUAUUAGGUGUGACACAGCUUUAUCACAAUCUCCACCAUCAGGCACCUUAGCCUGUCUCAAAGAAUUUAGAAUAUAUAACUGUCCAAAUAUAAAGAAGUUAUUCAUGCCUAGGUUGUUGAUGUGCCUCCAAAACUUGGAAGAGAUUCACGUAGAAGAUUGUCGCCAAAUUGAAGAAAUAGUGGCUGCAGCAUCUGAUGAAAAUGAAGUAGAAGAAAAUAAGGACAAAGGGCUUGGCACUACCAUAUUCACUCUCCCUAAAUUAAGGUGUUUGCAAUUGUGGGAUCUGCCUCAAUUGAAGAUCAUCUGCAAUGAUAAUGCAGUACUAGUUUGUGAUUCCCUCCAGAAAUAAUAGUACGUUAUUGCCGGAAGCUUAAGCGGAUCCCUCUCUCACUGCCCCUGCUUGAUGGUCAACCAUCCCCACAUCCCUCUCUUCAAAUAAUAAAAGCAUUUCCAGAACAAUGGUGGGAAUCACUGGAGUGGGACCAUCCCAAUGCCAAGAAUUUACUUCAACCCUUUUGUCAAUUCACACGAUAUGUAUAACAUCCCCAUGUUGAUAAUUUCUUUCUUUCCAUCACACUUUUAUUUGUAAUUUAAGAAAAUUUUCCCCUUAAGAAUUUUAGACCAACUUGGACAUGUGUUCAAAUUGUUUACUUUGCAUUGAGAGUCCUUUUUCUAAUUAUAGCCCCUUCAGGUUAC